GCACAAGCAGCGGAGCGUGUGGUUUAAUUCGAUGCUACACGAAGAACCUUACCAGGGUUUGACAUACAAGUAGUAGGGAAAGGAAACUGGACCGACCCUUCGGGGAGCUUGUACAGGUGCUGCAUGGCUGUCGUCAGCUCGUGUCGUGAGAUGUUCGGUUAAGUCCGCUAACGAGCGCAACCCUCGUCGUAUGUUAUAUGUGUCAUACGAGACUGCCGGUAAAAGCCGGAGGAAGGUGAGGAUGAUGUCAAGUCAGCAUGACCUUUAUAUCCAGGGCUACACACACGCUACAAUGGUCUGUACAAUGGGUAGCCAAGCCGCGAGGCGGAGCCAAUCCUGAAAGCAGGCCUCAGUUCAGAUUGCAGUCUGCAACUCGACUGCAUGAAGCCGGAGUUGCUAGUAACCGCAGGUCAGCAAUACUGCGGUGAAUACGUUCCCGGGUCUU
rnacentral:rRNA from 1 species